UGGGGAAUAUUGGACAAUGGGCGCAAGCCUGAUCCAGCCAUGCCGCGUGGAUGAUGAAGGCCCUAGGGUUGUAAAGUCCUUUUAACGGGGAAGAUAAUGACGGUACCCGUAGAAUAAGCCCCGGCUAACUUCGUGCCAGCAGCCGCGGUAAUACGAAGGGGGCUAGCGUUGCUCGGAAUUACUGGGCGUAAAGCGCACGUAGGCGGACCGAUAAGUCGGGGGUGAAAUCCUGGAGCUCAACUCCAGAACUGCCUUCGAAACUGCCGGUCUUGAGUUCGGGAGUGGUGAGUGGAACUGCGAGUGUAGAGGUGAAAUUCGUAGAUAUUCGCAAGAACACCAGUGGCGAAGGCGGCUCACUGGCCCGAUACUGACGCUGAGGUGCGAAAGCGUGGGGAGCAAACA
rnacentral:rRNA from 1 species